CUUUAUUUGCGCAGCAUAGGUGGGAGGCAUUGAGUUUAUUCUUGCGGGAAUUUAGGAGCCAUCAGUGAGAUACCACUCUGGUAAUGUUAGAUUUCUAACUUUGUAUCAUGAUCUGGUCAAAGAACAGUUUCAGGCGGGCAGUUUGACUGGGGCGGUCGCCUCCCAAAUGGUAACGGAGGCGUACAAAGGUUUCCUCUGAACGUGUAGAAAUCGUAUCUAGAGUGUAAAGGCAUAAGGAAGCUUGACUGUGAGACCUACAAGUCGAGCAGGGACGAAAGUCGGUCUUAGUGAUCUGACGGUGCUGAGUGGAAAGGCCGUCACUCAACAGAUAAAAGUUACUCUAGGGAUAACAGGCUGAA
rnacentral:rRNA from 1 species